GACGAACGCUGGCGGCGUGCUUAACACAUGCAAGUCGAACGGAAAGGCCCUGCUUUUUUGGGGUGCUCGAGUGGCGAACGGGUGAGUAACACGUGAGUAACCUGCCCUUGACUUUGGGAUAACUUCAGGAAACUUGGGCUAAUACCGGAUAGGAGCUCCUGCUGCAUGGUGGGGGUUGGAAAGUUUCGGCGGUUGGGGAUGGACUCGCGGCUUAUCAGCUUGUUGGUGGGGUAGUGGCUUACCAAGGCUUUGCCGGGUAGCCGGCCUGAGAGGGUGACCGGCCACAUUGGGACUGAGAUACGGCCCAGACUCCUACGGGAGGCAGCAGUGGGGAAUAUUGCACAAUGGGCGGAAGCCUGAUGCAGCAACGCCGCGUGCGGGAUGACGGCCUUCGGGUUGUAAACCGCUUUCGCCUGUGACGAAGCGUGAGUGACGGUAAUGGGUAAAGAAGCACCGGCUAACUACGUG
rnacentral:rRNA from 1 species